rnacentral:rRNA from 1 species
GACGAACGCUGGCGGCGUGCUUAACACAUGCAAGUCGAACGGAAAGGCCCUGCUUGCAGGGUACUCGAGUGGUGAACGGGUGAGUAACACGUGGGUGAUCUGCCCUGCACUUCGGGAUAAGCCUGGGAAACUGGGUCUAAUACCGGAUAGGAGCCAUUUUUAGUGUGAUGGUUGGAAAGUUUUUUCGGUGUAGGAUGAGCUCGCGGCCUAUCAGCUUGUUGGUGGGGUAAUGGCCUACCAAGGCGGCGACGGGUAGCCGGCCUGAGAGGGUGGACGGCCACAUUGGGACUGAGAUACGGCCCAGACUCCUACGGGAGGCAGCAGUGGGGAAUAUUGCACAAUGGGCGCAAGCCUGAUGCAGCGACGCCGCGUGGGGGAGGACGGCCUUCGGGUUGUAAACUCCUUUCGCUAGGGACGAAGCUUUUUGUGACGGUACCUAGAUAAGAAGCACCGGCUAACUACGUG